rnacentral:rRNA from 1 species
GAUGAACGCUGGCGGCGUGCCUAAUACAUGCAAGUCGAACGCUUCACUUCGGUGAAGAGUGGCGAACGGGUGAGUAAUACAUAAGUAACCUGGCAUCUACAGGGGGAUAACUGAUGGAAACGUCAGCUAAGACCGCAUAGGUGUAGAGAUCGCAUGAACUCUAUAUGAAAAGUGCUACGGGACUGGUAGAUGAUGGACUUAUGGCGCAUUAGCUUGUUGGUAGGGUAACGGCCUACCAAGGCGACGAUGCGUAGCCGACCUGAGAGGGUGACCGGCCACACUGGGACUGAGACACGGCCCAGACUCCUACGGGAGGCAGCAGUAGGGAAUUUUCGGCAAUGGGGGAAACCCUGACCGAGCAACGCCGCGUGAAGGAAGAAGUAAUUCGUUAUGUAAACUUCUGUCAUAGAGGAAGAACGGUGGAUGUAGGGAAUGAUAUCCAAGUGACGGUACUG